UAUAAAAGAUAAAAUAUUUACUUUAUUUCAAUUUGAAAGUUAUAUAAAAGUUAAGUCCAAAAUUAGAUUAAGAAAAAAAAUUAAAAAUAAAGAUAAUAAUAAGGAACACCCUAUUGAUAAGAAAAAAAAUAUGUUAAGAAAAUCUACGUAGUAGGUAUCCAAAAUGACACCGACAAAAUUAAAAUUUACUUGAAUAUAAAUAACUAAGUACUUGGAACAAAUUAUCAAAGCUUAUAGUUGAAGUUAGUAAAUAAUGAUGUGAAUGUUUUCAACUUAGUUGAGGUGUGUGUAGGCAAGUCAUUUGAUUUACUGUCAAACCAAACGCAUUCCAUCUCUUUCUUAGCAAGAAAUUAAAUGAGAUAAAAAACAGAGACGUGAAUAAUCUCAAUAGAAUUAUCUCUGUGGUCAUGUCUGAUGUCUCGUCUCUCUGGUUUCGGUGUGGUUUUGUAUUUGUUCUUAAAAAAAUAAACAAAAAUGACUCAAACCGCUAAUAAAAAAUGUUGGAAGGAAUUGUUUGAACUUCUCCAGCAACAUCCCACGUUUUGGAAGAUAAAAAGCAAUGAAUGUAAACAACUCCAUGAAGUCAGGUGCAGGAGAAGACGACGUCCACGUACCCACUUUGUGGUACUUCGACGACUUCGAGUCCAAUCGGCUCCUGGUUUUCUGUGUGUGUUAUUGCUUCAUAUAAACGACCGUUCUUCUUUUUCAAAAAGUUAUGUAAAUAACAACAGGCGAGAACAAUUUUGGUUGCCUUUUCGGGGCACAAGUUAAUUGGCUUGAAUAAAAUUUCGAAGCGAUGUGCGAGGAUGCCAAACGCAUUUUCUACGCGAACUCUUGCCGAACUUAAGCAUCUAUUAAAAUUUAAUUCCUGUGGAGAUAUUUGCAUUUGUAUGUACUCCUUCAAUGGGAAAGCGUCAUCCGCUACAAAAACAUAGGGCAACUUUUCUCCACCUGCCAUUAGCUCUUCCGCAAUUGGAAUGUUAAGGGAAUCGGCCUCCAACAUUUCUGCAAAUUUGGUGUAUGAAAAAACUCCACCAUCAGAAAUUCGUCCAUUUUUUCCCACGUCAACCAUUGAGAAUUCACUAUUUGUAUUGACAACAGCCAUCAGGACUAUGCUAAAUGUUUUCUUAUAGUUGAAGUAGUAUGAUCCCAAAUUUGGUGGCUUAUUUAUUUCGAAGUGCUAGCCGUCGAUAGCCCCUAUACAAUGGGGGAACCCCAUUUUUCGAAUUCAGUUUUCCAUUCAACCACUUUUUUUUUGGUACCUAAAAUUAUGUAGAAUUAAAUCAAACAAAAUAAAAAUAAGUUCUCUAAAAAAUAUAACCUUUAUAUAUUCAUUGAGCACAGAUAUUAUAGCCUCACACGUUUCUAUUAAAAUUUUCCCAAUUGCUUGGGGGGACACAGCAUAGAAAAUUUUGAGAUCCUCAAAAUCAUUUCCUUUGGCGAGGUACCUUAAUGUAAUUAGAAGGCGUGUUUCUGGACUUAUUGAAUCUCGCAUAAGUGUCUUCCUUUUUGAUUAAUGGAGUUACUUUAUUUAGCAGUUCCUGAAAGGCUUCUGCAUUCAUUCUGACAUCUUGAUUCGAUUAAAUGAAAUCUUUUAACGAGAAAAAAAUGAUGUUUUGACAGUUGAAGCAGAAGUCUUUCAACAAAGUUUAUGUAGUGUGUGGCGAAGCAUCAAUUUAGUUGACAACUAAAUUGAAUAUAAAAUUAAAUCGUGUAUGGAGUGCAUAAUAAAGAAAAAAACGCACACAAUUAUUCAACACAAGAGCAGUUGGAAUUCAAAUUGGUGAAGAAGAAGUAUGUAACUUACAAAACAGUAUAAAUACAGGGGUGCCUUCCUGCGUACCUCGCACCUCGAAAAUUGCAACCUGUGGGAAAUAAUAAAUGAAAAGUCUUCAAGAAAGUAUAGUUUUGAGUAAUUUUUAAUGUAUCUUUAACAUAUUUCAUAUAAAAUUAUUGAUUUUUUUCCAAAUUGUAUGUAGGAAACUUAUGAACAACAAAUUGAUAUCAUAAAAUUAAAUUUUAAUGCUUUUUUAAAUGUAUCUUUUAGAUUAAAUAUAAAAAUAUAAAUAUAAACCUCUUCAAGUAAAGUCAAUUGACUAUAUCAAAAAUAUUUAAUAAUUUCUGGAAUUUCUUAAUAAUUAAACCUCUUUAAGACGAAAGAUACCACAACUCAUGGUCUUGACGCAUAUUAUUACGUCAUUAUUUUAUCAAAGGUUACUACAAAUUCUAGUACUUAAAUUAAAACUCAACGUCAGAAAAUACAACGUAUACAUUGUUGAAAUUAUGUAAAUCACACUUAAGAUUCAGUUUUGUAUCUUUUAUCUGAUAAUAAACUUGUAUCUCUUUUAUCGGAA